rnacentral:rRNA from 1 species
AACGAACGCUGGCGGCAUGCCUAACACAUGCAAGUCGAACGAGACCUUCGGGUCUAGUGGCGCACGGGUGCGUAACGCGUGGGAACCUGCCCUUAGGUUCGGAAUAACUCCCCGAAAGGGGUGCUAAUACCGGAUAAUGUCUUCGGACCAAAGAUUUAUCGCCUUUGGAUGGGCCCGCGUUGGAUUAGCUAGUUGGUAGGGUAAAAGCCUACCAAGGCGACGAUCCAUAGCUGGUCUGAGAGGAUGAUCAGCCACACUGGGACUGAGACACGGCCCAGACGCCUACGGGAGGCAGCAGUGGGGAAAAUUGGACAAUGGGCGAAAGCCUGAUCCAGCAAUGCCGCGGGAGUGAUGAAGGCCUUAGGGUGGUAAAGCUCUUUUACCCGGGAUGAUAAGGACAGGACCGGGAGAAUAAGCUCGGGUGAACUCCGU